UAUUAAAAAAUUCAUAUAUUUGUACUAUUAAAAAUUAGUGUGGAUAAAGAAAUAACAAGACAGUGACACAUGGCGUGCCACGUAUACAGCAUACUAAUAUACAAAGGCUAGUUUUUAACAGUAGAAAUGUAUGAAAUUUUUAACA
rfam:Gossypium arboreum cultivar AKA8401 contig_10675_3, whole genome shotgun sequence.